rnacentral:rRNA from 1 species
AACGAACGCUGGCGGCAUGCCUAACACAUGCAAGUCGAACGAGGCCCUUCGGGGUUUAGUGGCGCACGGGUGCGUAACGCGUGGGAAUCUGCCCUUAGGUUCGGAAUAACAGCCGGAAACGGCUGCUAAUACCGGAUGAUAUCGCGAGAUCAAAGAUGUAUCGCCUGAGGCAGAGACCGCGUUGGACUAGGUAGUUAGUGGGGUAAAGGCCUACCAAGCCGACGAUCCAUAGCUCGUCUGAGAGGAUGAUCAGCCCCACUGGGACUGAGACACUGCCCAGACUCCUACGGGAGGCAGCAGUGGGGAAUAUUGGACAAUGGGGGAAACCCUGAUCCAGCAAUGCCGCGUGAGUGAUGAAGGCCCUAGGGUUGUAAAGCUCUUUUACCCGGGAAGAUAAUGACUGUACCGGGAGAAUAAGCCCCGGCUAACUCCGUGCCAGCCGCCGCCGUAACAC